GGCAAAUCCCACAUCGGCCUGGAGCACAUGAAAACUCUACAGUUAAGCGUGCUCAAGUGGGAGUAGUACCAGGAUGGGUGACCGUCUAGGACGUCCCCACUGGGGCAACCA
rnacentral:rRNA from 2 species